GUGCAAAACAACACACUUCUUUAAAAAGCGACCAACCACGACAGCAUGAUCCACGGCUAAGGCCAAUGUCCUCAGUCCAACCCUGCGAGUUCGUGUAAAUGCAGCCUUAAGUACAUUCACAUAAAGACGAUACUACGGCCGAUGGCUGUCCCGUCGUGGGGACUUAAAGGACAGCAUUAAAAAUCACACACACGCUUGCAGGAACCGCCAACGCCCGCUGCUGUGACAGUUACAGCCCCUCCUCUCAAAAGAUUGAGGGGCACGAAGCCGUGCAUCAUCCCAGCACAAAGGUCGGGGAACAUAUUUGAAAUCAGAACAAGUGGGGUUUUCAGUUUUCACCCCGGAGGCAGAAGCAGGAGCCUGUUGUCCCAGGCGGGAAUGAAGUCUGAGCGAGGAGACCACAGGCCUCCUGACAUCUGCGCUUCUGCUCACGGUUCAGAAAGUUCUGGAGGCUUGCUCCUUAGGGUUAAGGACUGAAGAGGCGCCGGCAGAGGGAACGUGGGGAUGUUCGCAGGGUUUGCACGGGAGCAUGAAACCCCCGACGGUGGGUCCUGGGCUGGUCCCAGUCCCCAGAAGUGGGAGAGCACAGGACACUUGGAGGAGCCCUGAUGGAGAGAGGUGGGCCGGACGGUGGGCUCCGUGGGUGAGGAGGGUCCCCACGCCACCUGGGGUUCUGCAAAACCCACCCGUGGUUGGGGGGGGCAGAUGCGCACACCCCUGGGGCCAGGGCUCAGCAGGGCGCGGGCUCCUGCCCUGGGGGUAUGUCCUGCUGCCACCCAGGGGCACAGUCUAGUGACCUCAGGACCAAAAAGCGCCCCCCACCCCUGCCAACCGAAGGCUGCAGUUGUAUACGCUGCGGCCCCUUCUCCAGAGCCAAGUGUCCAGUCUGGACAGGAGGCCCCGCGAUGCACAAGGAAAAACACAUAUGGGCGCGACUUGCCCGCCGCACCUGUGCCCGGUGUGCUCCCCUGUCCGGCGGGCCGGCCUCCAGGUGGGGGUGAGGGUCAGGGCAACCCCAGAAACCUGUGCAGCAUGGGCACGAAGGUGGUGGCGCAGAUGCCCACGGACACGUAGGUGACGAACUUGUAAGGCACCUCGAUCUCCAGCCUCCGCCGGGCCUCCCUGUCCCGCGGGACCACCCGGAACCACGAGCACAGCACCUGCAGCGACAGCGCCUGGACCAGCCGGCGCACGGCGAGGACCAGCGCGAUGCCCACCGCGAACUUGGUGAGGCUCAGCGCCAGCCCCGCGGCCAAGGCCGAGAGCCAGGGCGGGAGCCGGGGCGGGAGCGGCGGGAGGCGGAGGCCCGGGGGGC
rnacentral:lncRNA from 12 species